rnacentral:misc_RNA from 1 species
AACGCACAUUGCGCCCCUUGGUAUUCCAUGGGGCAUGCUUGUUCGAGCGUCAUUUGUACCUUCAAGCUUUGCUUGGUGUUGGGUGUUUGUCCGCCAGUUGGACUCGCCUCAAAUGUAUUGGCAGCCUGUAAUCGGGUGAUAGAGCGCAGCACAAUUGCGAGCUUCUCCCGUUGACAGACGACCAUCAAGUCUACCAUUUCACGUUUGACCUCGGAUCAAGUAGGGAUACCCGCUGAACUUAA